UACGAAGGGUGCAAGCGUUAAUCGGAAUUACUGGGCGUAAAGCGUGCGUAGGCGGUUUCUUAAGUCUGCUGUGAAAGCCCCGGGCUCAACCUGGGAAUGGCGGUGGAUACUGAGAAGCUGGAGUACGGUAGAGGAAGGUGGAAUUCCCGGUGUAGCGGUGAAAUGCGUAGAGAUCGGGAGGAACAUCAGUGGCGAAGCCGGCCUUCUGGACCAGUACUGACGCUGAGGCACGAAAGCGUGGGGAGCGAACCGG
rnacentral:rRNA from 1 species